AGCCUAUCCCGGAACGCUAUCGGUUGCACUUUUCAAAAAACCGAGCUGCCCGGGGAUAGACUCU
rfam:Caenorhabditis briggsae complete genome, chrII